rnacentral:rRNA from 1 species
UACGGGGGGGGCAAGCGUUGUUCGGAAUUACUGGGCGUAAAGGGCUCGUAGGCGGCCAACUAAGUCAGACGUGAAAUCCCUCGGCUUAACCUGGGAACUGCAUCCGAUACUGGAUGGCUUGAAUCCGGGAGAGGGAUGCGGAAUUCCAGGUGUAGCGGUGAAAUGCGUAGAUAUCUGGAGGAACACCGGUGGCGAAGGCGGCAUCCUGGACCGGCAUUGACGCUGAGGAGCGAAAGCCAGGGGAGCAAACGGG